GUCCACAUGAAAGGUGUUUGUGGUCUGGCCUGCUCACUGAGUAGUAGUAAACUUAAAGAGCCGCGGUAUAUUGACCGUGCAAAGGUAGCAUAAUCAUUAGUUUUUUAAUUGGAAACUCGUAUGAAUGGUUAAACAAAAGAAAUUCUGUCUCUUUAUUUUAUAUUGAAUUUAACUUUUAAGUGAAAAGGCUUAAAUUUUUUAAGGGGACGAUAAGACCCUAUAAAGCUUUAUAAUGAAAUAAUACUAUUUUAAAAUGAUUUAUAAAAAUAAAGUAAAAUUACUUUAUUUUGUUGGGGCGACAUAGAUAUAAAUAUAUUAUUUAACUGUCAGAUUAUAAUACAUAGGUUUAUGAGUGAAUAAAUGAUCCUUAUUUAAAGAUUAAAAGACUAAGUUACUUUAGGGAUAACAGCAUUAUUUCUUUUGAGAGUUCUUAUUGAAAAAGAAGUUUGUGACCUCGAUGUUGAAUUAAAGAAUCUUUUUAAUGUAGCUGUUAUAAGAAGAAGGUCUGUUCGACCUUUAAAUCUUAC
rnacentral:rRNA from 1 species